rnacentral:rRNA from 1 species
GAGUUUGAUCCUGGCUCAGAUUGAACGCUGGCGGCAUGCCUUACACAUGCAAGUCGAACGGCAGCAUGAUCUAGCUUGCUAGAUUGAUGGCGAGUGGCGAACGGGUGAGUAAUACAUCGGAGCGUGCCCUGUAGUGGGGAUAACUAGUCGAAAGAUUAGCUAAUACCGCAUACGACCUGAGGGUGAAAGUGGGGACCGCAAGGCCUCAUGCUAUAGGAGCGGCCGAUGUCUGAUUAGCUAGUUGGUGGGGUAAAGGCCCACCAAGGCGACGAUCAGUAGCUGGUCUGAGAGGACGAUCAGCCACACUGGGACUGAGACACGGCCCAGACUCCUACGGGAGGCAGCAGUGGGGAAUUUUGGACAAUGGGCGAAAGCCUGAUCCAGCAAUGCCGCGUGUGUGAAGAAGGCCUCGGUU